GUGGGGAAUCUUGCGCAAUGGGCGAAAGCCUGACGCAGCCAUGCCGCGUGAAUGAUGAAGGUCUUAGGAUUGUAAAAUUCUUUCACCGGGGACGAUAAUGACGGUACCCGGAGAAGAAGCCCCGGCUAACUUCGUGCCAGCAGCCGCGGUAAUACGAAGGGGGCUAGCGUUGCUCGGAAUUACUGGGCGUAAAGGGCGCGUAGGCGGACAGCUUAGUCAGAGGUGAAAGCCCAGGGCUCAACCUUGGAAUUGCCUUUGAUACUGGCUGUCUUGAGUACGGGAGAGGUGAGUGGAACUCCGAGUGUGGAGGUGAAAUUCGUAGAUAUUCGGAAGAACACCAGUGGCGAAGGCGACUCACUGGCCCGUUACUGACGCUGAGGCGCGAAAGCGUGGGGAGCAAACAGGAUUAGAUACCCUUGUAGUCC
rnacentral:rRNA from 1 species